rnacentral:rRNA from 1 species
GAUGAACGCUAGUGGCAGGCCUAACACAUGCAAGUCGAGGGGUAACAUAGGAAAGCUUGCUUUUCUGAUGACGACCGGCGCACGGGUGCGUAACGCGUAUACAACCUACCUUUUAGCGGGGAAUAGCCCAGGGAAACUUGGAUUAAUGCCCCAUAGUAUAUAGACUUCUCCUGAAGUUUAUAUUAAACAUUUAUGGCUAUUAGAUGGGUAUGCGUCCUAUUAGUUAGUUGGUAAGGUAACGGCUUACCAAGGCAGCGAUAGGUAGGGGUCCUGAGAGGGAGAUCCCCACACUGGUACUGAGACACGGACCAGACUCCUACGGGAGGCAGCAGUGAGGAAUAUUGGACAAUGGGCGGGAGCCUGAUCCAGCCAUGCCGCGUGCAGGAAGACUGCCCUAUGGGUUGUAAACUGCUUUUACAGAGGAAGAACCACCCCCACGUGUGGGGGUUUGACGGUACUCUGCGAAUAAGGAUCGGCUAACUCCGUG